rnacentral:siRNA from 1 species
UUGAUUCGUUGCCCUCUGCUG